rnacentral:rRNA from 1 species
CCUACGGGCGGCAGCAGUCGGGAAUUUUGCUCAAUGGGCGCAAGCCUGAAGCAGCAACGCCGCGUGAGGGAUGAAGGCCUUCGGGUUGUAAACCUCUUUUCUCAGGGAAGAUGAUGACGGUACCUGAGGAAUAAGCCACGGCUAACUACGUGCCAGCAGCCGCGGUAAUACGUAGGUGGCAAGCGUUGUCCGGAUUUACUGGGCGUAAAGAGCGCGCAGGCGGUCGUUCAAGUCGAGUGUGAAAGCCCCCGGCUCAACUGGGGAGGGUCACUCGAUACUGAUCGGCUCGAAGGCAGGAGAGGGAAGUGGAAUUCCCGGUGUAGUGGUGAAAUGCGUAGAUAUCGGGAGGAACACCAGUGGCGAAGGCGGCCCCCUGGACAAAGACUGACGCUCAUGUGCGAAAGCGUGGGGAGCAAACAGGAUUAGAUACCCGGGUAGUC